CUGUCUAGACAUCUCCAAGCAGAGGUAAAGGAGGGAGGCCAAUUACAGAGGUUACAAGCUGCGCCACAAUUAAGGAAAUGUACAGUUCAGCAGAGUUCAGGGAUUAAAAAGGCCUUCAAAACUGGAGAGCCCUGUAAAAGGCAAAACAGCCAGCUCUCUCUCCCCUGUCUGUGAGCACUCUCUGUGUGCCAAGCAGAGGCACUGUGACAUGCUCCCACAAGGCCUCUCAUUAGAAACAGAGCUGUCUGGCAAGCUGGACUGUAAACUUUAGAGAGGUCACCCCCAUCCUGUUCUUCUGCACUGUAAACAAGCAGAAAGGCGUUCUGUCUGUCCACACCAAUGAGGUUUAUAAUACCUGAAAAAGUAUGUUCUGAUUUGAAAAUCUGCCAUCUUGACAUGAAGGUCUUUAACCAGUCCGACUCUUGGCAGGUACAGAACACUAAAGGACCAUUUUAUUUCUAAAUGAGUCUGAAUGGCGCACUACAAAGACUGGAAAUGCUGCUGCCCUUUCAUUUUAAAUGGUACGUUGGCAUUUAACAUUACACAUGUCAGCAGAACUUCACUCUCCAUAUAUGGCUUCUUAAUGUAUGUGUAUUUGUCCACAGCCACUUAUGAUAUUAGCUGUUGUCAUCGGCAGUGGAAAGGGACAUUUAACAUGCAGAUAUAAAAAAACACUCUUUUUAUCAUAAAUUAAUUUAUAAACUACAUUCAUAAACUCCCACCUUUUUAUAUAGCCUCCUCCACAUCCUGUAGCACAAAUAAUAUACUUUUACACACAGAAAUA